CGAUCGGUCUGCGCAGCGCCGGUGCACUCGAAUAAACAUCGAUCGACGUCAUGGAACUGCGUAAUUUAUUCACGAAUUGGACGUUACGGCUCGCGCUGUGUUUGAUACUACGUUUGGAAAAAUGGCGCGUAAUCUGAAUUUGAAAUCAACACCACCUGUUUGUGUCUCAUCUGGGACGUUAUUUUAUUGAGUCGCUGAGGUUGGUGUCAAUGUGAAACAGGUAGUGAGUCACCUGGGGAUUCCUGACCGUGCUUUUCCCAUUGUUUCUCUGUCCUCUCUCUUGAGAGAUCUUUCCUCAGUCAUCUCUUUUAUACCCAUGAUGGAGAAGACUAGACAGAGAAAGGAAGACGUUAGAGGUCACAUGUGGUGUGUGUACAUUGUGGGUCUGUGGUGAGAAGUUGAUAAAGUGGACAGCUGGCAGCAUUUCCUCUCCUCGACCCUGAUGAGAACUCAAAAAAAGACGAAGCAGGAAAUGACUGCGGAAACAAUCCAUCCUACAAAUGGAGGAAGGGAGAGAAAGAAGGUACGUAGGUGUGUUGGAGCAGAUUGGAGCUAAACUUCCCUCCAGGAGCUUGGGACACCCCUCGUACCUAGUUUGAUUGAACACUUCUGGACCAAACCUACGCCCUCGGUGUCUCUUUCUGGCUGGACGGAUUGAUCUCCAUCAGUAUUAAUCUCUGAGAGCUCAUGAGGCUGGUGUGAUCUCAGACAUGGGUAUUUUGGCACAGCAGUUAAAUCAGGCUUUAAACCAGUCGACCGUGACCUGAUCCCACACAGCUGUGAGAUAUAUCUCUCUCUCUCAUGCUCUCGCUUUCUCGUUUCCCAUCAUCCCAUGCUCUCUUGACACAGAGACACACUCACAAUCAAUCACGAGACUUAUUUCCCGUGCUCUCGCUCGCUCUUGAUGUACAUUGGCUUUAGGAUGUGGUGUGCUAUGAUAAGCUCUUUUCCUGGAUGACGGUGUAUGACACUGACCUAAUUCUACUCUGUAUGGGAAUAACGACUUCCCGUGUUUGUUGUCUUGAUGGUUGUGAGACAGAAGACGAGAAGCACAGUGUGAACACAUUUGUAAAUCCUACAUGAGUCACGACACGCCUCGGUUUUUUCUUUUUUUGUCCAGGAACAAUUGUCUCUUUCAGUGUACUUCCUCCUAAACUCUUGUCAUCGCUAAAAAAAAAAACUUCCUGGACUUCUUUCAGCCAUUCGUUCCUAACUCAUACUGAUGUAUCAUAUUGAUCUACUAUCAAUAUUUCAUGAAACUGCAAGUUUUUGUGUCUGCAGAGCUCAAAGCAAACCCACAUUGAGCAAAACCACCAUUUGAGCAGCUCUUUAAUGGAAAUAAAUGUUUGUGUGUUAGCCAGAUGGGGUUCAAAAUGUGUGUGCGUUUUGUGGAUAACUGUAUGUAAAUUAUGUUUAUCUGUGAGUGUUAAACCAAUCAGCCAUGAGAGAAUGCAUCUUUACAAUACUGUGGAGGGAAAGCAUGCUACGCUGAUAUCAUGGUACUGAAUGAUUAGCAUGAUGUGUU